GGGACUGUAAACUAGUUCAACCAUUGUGGAAGUCAGUGUGGCGAUUCCUCAGGGAUCUAGAACUGGAAAUACAUUUGACCCAGCCAUCCCAUUACUGGGUAUGUACCCAAAGGACUAUAAAUCAUGCUGCUAUAAAGUCACAUGCACACGUAUGUUUAUUGUGGCAUUAUUCACAAUAGCAAAGACUUGGAACCAACCCAAAUGUCCAACAAUGAUAGACUGGAUUAAGAAAAUGUGGCACAUAUACACCAUGGAAUACUAUGCAGCCAUAAAAAAUGAUGAGUUCAUGUCCUUUGCAGGGACAUGGAUGAAAUUGGAAAACAUCAUUCUCAGUAAACUAUCGCAAGAACAAAAAACCAGACACCGCAUAUUCUCACUCAUAGGUGGGAAUUGAACAAUGAGAUCACAUGGACACAGGAAGGGGAAUAUCACACUCUGGGGACUGUUGUGGGGUGAGGGGAGGGGGGAGGGAUAGCAUUGGGAGAUAUACCUAAUGCUAGAUGACGAGUUAGUGGGUGUAAUGCACCAGCAUGGCACAUGUAUACAUAUGUAACUAACCUGCACAAUGUGCACAUGUAGAGUAUAAUAAAAAAAAAAGGCAAAACCAUAUUAGAAAAACAGAAAAGAAAAAGAAAAAAAAAAAAAAAGACUUAAAAUCUCUCUUGGGGCCAGAUACAGAAAGCAUUUUCCUCACCUGUUUUCUUUUCAAAACAGUAGAAAAACUGUUUUUAAAGAAGGGCAAUUAAAGUAGACUAGCCCUGAAUGAUUUUUCUAAUUGUUACAGAAAAUCUGAUGGUUUUCUUACCUUGAAGUCAUGUGUACUAGGUCUUCCAAUUCUCUCUGAAGGGGAAGCCACAUGGCUUCCUAGAUCCUUAAGAAAGGAUAACCCUUAUUGAUAAGCCUCUGUUUAUGACAUGACUUGCCCAGGGUCACACAGAAAGGCAGCAGUAGAGACAAAAAUUACAUACAGAUUGCCUGUCUCGCAGUUUCCCUUCCCUGUUGUUGGAGGAACGUAAUGAGGGUAAGAAAGGAAGGGGUCUCCAGAGAGAUGUAAUGGCUAUUUCUAAGCCAUUUUUAAAAUAAGCUUCAGAUGAUCAAAAGUUCGAGGUCAGAGGAUAAUUUAGGCCAUCAGAAGUUGGCCAGAUUGGAGUUAGGUCCUCUAGAGAAUUCUGUCCUUUGGCAGUCAAAGACAGUGAUGGACGCCAAGCCAGGCCUGUGAUUUGGGCACAGGUCCAGGCUCUAGCCCCCUCUGGAGCCGGGCUCGGAUCUUCACAAGGAGCUCUGCAGCAAGCAGGGUCUGUGCUUGAACAUACGCUUUUAAUCAGAGUCGCUGGAACCUGGAUGGGGCCUCAAACAUAAUUUAAUUCAGUCCUCUCACUUUGCAGAUGUAGAAAUUGAAGGCCAGAUUGAAGGGUGGGCUAUGGAAUGCUUGCACAAGGUCAUCUGUCAAUUUAGGGAACAGCAUGGUAAGGUGAAAAGGGAUCGCUUUGGUGUCAUUGCUGGGUUCCAAAUCCCCGCUCUGCCGCGUAUUAGCUAAGAGACCCCAGGUAAGUCACUUGACCUCCCUGACUAUCAAUGUCCCAGUGUGUAAAGUCGGGACCAUAAUUACAAUGCCUGAAUCACUGGAUUGCUAUCAUUAAAUAAGAUGAAAAAUAAGAAAGUGAUUUGUAAACAGGAAGUCACUUUUCAUACCACAAUGUUAAUAUUAAAUUAUAAUAAAACCCAACCCAAUAAAAGCAGUCCACUUUUCUGAAUGCCCACCACAUGCCAAGUGCCAAGUACUUCACAUACCUUGUUUCUUUUAAUUCACACAAUGAAUGACCCGAGGAGAACGCUCAACUAACAACCAUGUACUUGAACCAGGGGUUUAAAUCAGUCAUACACACAGCAGGAUUUAAAUACUAUCUUCCACAUGGUACCUUCAGAAACGUGGGCCUGGGAUUUCAUUCAUGGGAUACACAUGGCUCCCCCCCCCGUACCCCCUGCCCCCUCUGUAUUGAGUGGGUGGCUCUCACCUGUGGAGGGCAGGGUGCUCUCAUGUUUGUUUAUACCAGAACAUAGAAUAGAACUUGGUAAAGGUAAAUGCUCAUUUAAGAAAUAAAAAUACAUCAAAUAAAGUAAAAAGCAACCUGGUAGAUAGCAUUUCCUUUUCAUUUUUUUAAAAUAGCUUUAUCGAAGGAUAAUUGAAUGGAAAUGGUCAUUAAUAUAUAUCCAGAAUCUAUUAACGUUCGGCUAAGUUGGGGGGAACAUAGGGAUGUUUUAAGGCAACUAAGCGAUUUAGAAAACUUAAGUUCUUUAAUGUUUUCAAAGAAAAGGUUGAGUCUGUAAGAUAUAAUCUGGCAAUUUGUAUAGAACUCUUUCUACUAGCUUCCAGGAAUCCCUGCUCUGUGAGCUUUUUGCCAAACUGAUUGAUCUUCCCAGACAUAAUCUGGGGACCUUCUCUAAUAUGCCCCUGUCCCGCUGUCAGCUUAAUACACUCUUUUGCUAAGUAAUAGGGUAUUGCUAGUGUUCUUCCAGGUUCUCUUCAUAAAGGCGCUUCUCUGUCAAUAAGAGACUGUGUUUAUAUUCUUGUGCACAAAUAACUGGCCCUCUUCUCAGUGUUUGAGAUCCCUCAUCUUGCUCCGACUGUUGCAGCCUUUUCUCGCCAUGACAGACUGCCAUACUACAUGGCCUUCUCCCAUCGAAAGGGUCUAGCAUGUGGACCACUGAACUGCCAAGGAAGCAGUCCAACUGCCCUGAGGCUGCCAUGCUGUGAGGAAACCCAAAGUGGUCCAUAAAGAAGGAUUAUGUGGAGGGACCCUGAAAGAUGCCUGGCCUGCCUCCCACUGCUCCAGUACCCUCCUCCCCAACUCUUCCAGCUUCAGCCACUGUCUGCAACCACAUGAGAGCUCCCGAGCCAUAAAUGCCCAGCCUAGUCUCCCCUAAGUUUCUAACCCACAGUUUAAACUACUAAGCUUGGGUUGCUUUGUUAUGCCUCAAUAGCAACUGGGACAUGCCCCUUUCUCCAUUCUGCUGCUGAAUCUGGUUACAGCAGCAGAGACACAUGCCAGGGGCAUCUCUAGUAACAGGGGAAAGCCCUUUGGGAGUAGAUUCAAAGUGGGGGGUCAAGACAAAUUAUUCAGCGAGCCUGACUUUUAGAACUCAAGGGGCACCAAGUAAGUGCAUGAUCCUGAGGCAAUCAAUUCCUCUCGUUUUCCUUUUUUUGUAAAGGGAUGAACUAGACACAGUGUGGAAAGCCAGCUUUACCACAUUCUCCUACGAUCUUCUGAAGUUACCUAAUCUCUCUAACCCCAGAUUCCUCUUCUGUAAAAUGGGGAUAAUAGCCACAAAAAUAGAACAGUAGUGUAAAAUUAGAUAGUAUGUGUGGAAAAGUAGAGUCUUGAAACUUGACUUAAGUGGUUGAUGAAUGUUAGCCCCCUCCACCAAUGCCUUCCCCUUGCAUUCUAAUAUUCUCUGCUCCUCUGAGCAAAUUUACCAGAUGAUUGUUGGAGUUUUUUGUAAUCCUCAUCAAGUCAGAGAAGACUAGUGAGGUUGUGGCAAAUAAAUGAUUCUGAGGGUCCAGGGCGAGCUUUAGGUAAAUUGUGGUUUUAGUGUUUGAGAAAGAGCCUGUCACUAGUGGGAGUCUUCAUUAUUCACUGGCAAGAUAUAACAAGCAGGGCUUUGCAGUAAUGCACAGCUCCUCUGCUCUUGGCAAUCUUGUGGCCGAAAGAUAUUUUUAAAGCCCCUGUUUUCAGAUGACCGUGUUUCUGAUUAGCAUGUGUCUUUUCCAUUUUCAGUUCCACGAAGAGAAAGGCAAGUGAAAUUUGCCCAGCCUCACCAUCUCCAAAUGGGUGAUAUUACUGAACAAUUAUUUAAUGGCCCCACAGCAUCUGUUUUUUAUAUUUUGGGGUCCAUACUGGAAGUUCAAGCUUAUGAAUAAUCCAGAUAUUUAAAAGCCAAUGCUCAACUGGAUAUUCUCCUUAGGAUUAUUUUAGCCUUGUCUAGAAUCAGAGUGUCUGUCAAUUGCCACAACAUAUAUAUUAAGUUUGAAAGAGAUUAAGCUGGAAAAUUCGAUAUUUUAAAAAUAAUACCAAGAGAGGCUGGGAGCAGAAAGAGAAGAAAAGAUAACUAUUGGGUACUGGGUGAUGAAAUAAUAUUUACAAUAAACCCCCAUGGCAAGUGUUUACCUAUGUAGCAAACCUUCACAUGCACCCCCAAACAUAAAAUAAAAGUUAAAGAAAGAAAAAAACAGAAACUCUUACUUAUAACUCAUUUCAUUUAAUAACGUUUUUACUCUUUUAAAAAUAAAAUAAUGCUAAUGAUGAUGAUAACAGGGUUCAUACCUGUAGAGCAUUUUACAAGUGGCAGAGAGCUUUCAUUGAUAUCAUUUCUCUUAAGUCUUCACCCUGUGAGGUAGGCAUAGAAAGAAAUUUUAUCCCCAAAUGACAGAUGAAAAAAUAGAGAGCCCAUGAGUUUAACUGACUUGCUCAAAGCCACAAAGGCUGCAUUUCCUGAGCCUGAGUACCCCUAGGAAGAGCUCCAGCCAAUCUAGGGUGCAGAACCAAUGAGUUAGUUUAUCAUUUAUCAAUCCCAGUGAUGCAUAAGCUGUGCAGAAUUAGAAAGGUCAGCUCCAGGCUGGCCCACCAAAAAAGUAGAGGAAAACUUGGGAAUGCCCACUAGCCUAUUCAGAAGUUGGAUUCAGGUUGGGAGAAAGAAAAUAGGAGCCGAAUUAUUUUGAGGUGGUAUACACGAGUUACCUAUUGCCAUUGUAACAAAGCCAGCACAAACUUGGUGGCUUACAAUGACAUAAAUUUAUCCUUUUACAGUUCUGGAAACCAAAAAUCCAACAUUAAUUUCUCUGGGCUUUCAAAUCAAGCUGCCAGCAGGGAGAGUUCCUUCUGGAGGCUGUAGGGGAGAAUGUAUUUCCUUGCCUUUUUCAGCUUCCAGAGAUUCUCAUAUUCUUUGACUUGUGGCCCCUUCCUCCAUCUUCAAUGCAUAUAAUCUCUGUUUCCAUUGUCACACAACUCUCCUCCUACACCUUACAAUGGACCCAUCUGGAUGACAUGGGAUAAUCUCUGCACUUCAUGACCCCUAACUUAAUCACAUCUGCAAAGUCCCUUUAACAUGUAGGAGAACAUAGUCCCAGGUUCCAGGAAUUAGGACAUGGGCAUCUUUGGGACCAUCAUUCAGUCUACCAUAGGUGACAAGGUGACAGGCGGAUGGUGGCCACCGUUUUUUUUUGCAUGGUUGUGUUUGCCUGUCUGAAAGCCACACUCCUCACUGCCACCUGACAUGUAGAGGCCAAAAUAGAAAACACAUCUUCAGAUCCCAAGUAAAGUGCUCUUUCAGGCACGUCACACCUGCCAUCUCAAACUAUAUUUACAUUCAUUUUUGCAAAUAGCCCAUUCUUGUAUAGAAGGCAAUUAAUAUUUGCAUAAUGUUUUAGAGUUUAUAAUGGCCUUUUUAUUUACAUGAAGUCACUUAAACCCCUACAAUAGCCCUCUGAGACAGUUAUUAUUAACACAUUUUUACAUAUGAAGAAGCUAAGGCUCAGCGGGGUGAAGUGGUUUGUCUAAGGUCACCCAGCUGGUAAGGGCAAGACCACAAUGCAAAUCCCAAAAGUUCCACUAUAUUCCGCUCUAAAUAAUGAGUCUAUACUGAAGUCCACUUACUAGCCAUGGUGGCUUAUCUUUUGGGGAUACUCUGAAGGUGAAUGGGGUCUCCAUUGCGCUUUUGAGAUAAAAUGAGUCAAUAAAUGUGAAAGUCCUUUGUAGCAGUAUGACUCACUAUGACAGAAAGUUAUUGAUAGCAUUAUCAUCAUCACCACCAACAUCCUCUGCCCUGGAGACCAAGAGAAUUCAAACAGGUGUGGUUGGUGGGAGCAAUGCCCUGGAUGGAUAAGCCAAGCUCUUGUGUCCUGGCAGAUAAACAAGGUGAACCCUCAAUCCGUGUAGCAGGAGUUUCCAGACAAACUCACUUUGCAUGGAAGGACACUAACCCUUCCAGAUGUGUCUAAUUUUGUGGAAAGGAGAAGGUUGGGAGCUCCGGAGCUAAUAGGAUGCACAGGAGGAAGAUACGGAGCACAGUGGCUGAGACCUGACAGCUCUCUGAAGACUCCACUUCACCGCCGCCACUCCACUUCACCGCCGCCAGCCCUGGCCCACACCUUUCUUAAGAGCAACUUAAGAAAUUUGCAACUUCAAAACCAGACCAGAGGGUGAGAAGAACUAGCCAACCCAUCCUCCAAGUGUGACUGAGCGGUCAGGCUGCCCCCACCUCAUUUGAGUGAGACCGCCAAGAGCCUUCACGUGGGACCUAGACCACAGGAACACAAUUAGGAAGUACUCCCUGCCCCUCACAACGGCCAUCCUCACCAGGCAGCGGGGACAGAAGGGAGGCAGGUGCAUUCAAAUCGCGCUGGCCUGAAGAAGGGAAAUGAAGCGCUAAACUCAGCUCGGUCCCACAAUGAGUCAGAAUGGGGGCAGGGAGGAGCGCCCAAAGCCCUCUGGCCCUUCUCCUUGGGAACUAGUCCUGCACAUGGCCACCAGCCCUGGGAAUCACAGCAUUUGGCAUGGGUCUCAGUUCUUGUACUCCAUUGCUGUGGGACAAGAGACACUAAACUUCCAGGUUUUCUCUCAAUAGCUGGCUUCACCUGUAAACACAGUGGCAUAUUAGACAAGCUCUCUUCAUCUGAAAUGUGCCCACCCCCCCAACAAUCCCACCUUUGCCUGCUCAAACCUGACUCAUGCUUCAUGUUCAUAUUCAACUUCUUCCCUUGUGCUUCUAACUAAAUCUAGGAAUCUCCUUGUUCUUAGAACCACCUUUAUCCCUUCUCAGAUAUUUAUGUAUAUCAGUUUUUAAAUGAAAAUAAUUUCUCACCUAUUAAGCUGGGCACCCUGCUAAUCACUUUCACACUUGCUGUUUAAUUUGCUGUUUUGCUCCCUAAUAUUAGACAAAAACUCCUUGAAAACAGAGACUGUGUCUGACUCAUCGCUCCUUCCCCCACCAGGCACUAUCCUCUCAACAGUUACUGGAUUAAUAAUUUUUUAAAAAAUUUUAAAAAACUAUUUUAAAAAAAUAUAAAUUAGUAAAAACUGUGGCAUUAGCAUGAAAUGACUAAUAUGUUCAAGUUCCACUUGAGGAAGUUAGGGUGAUGUCAGUGAAAACCUGCCCUUAGAGGAUCCCUGCCUGCAUGAGGGACUCUGGGACUGCAAA
rnacentral:lncRNA from 1 species